rnacentral:rRNA from 1 species
GACGAACGCUGGCGGCGUGCUUAACACAUGCAAGUCGAACGGAAAGGCCCUGCUUUUGUGGGGUGCUCGAGUGGCGAACGGGUGAGUAACACGUGAGUAACCUGCCCUUGACUUUGGGAUAACUUCAGGAAACUGGGGCUAAUACCGGAUAGGAGCUCCUGCUGCAUGGUGGGGGUUGGAAAGUUUCGGCGGUUGGGGAUGGACUCGCGGCUUAUCAGCUUGUUGGUGGGGUAGUGGCUUUCCAAGGCUUUGACGGGUAGCCGGCCUGAGAGGGUGACCGGCCACAUUGGGACUGAGAUACGGCCCAGACUCCUACGGGAGGCAGCAGUGGGGAAUAUUGCACAAUGGGCGGAAGCCUGAUGCAGCAACGCCGCGUGCGGGAUGACGGCCUUCGGGUUGGAAACCGCUUUCGCCUGUGACGAAGCGUGAGUGACGGUAAUGGGUAAAGAAGCACCGGCUAACUACGUG